CUCAAGGCUGCACAUUUGCCUGGGGUACGGACCUUUCACAGCGGCUUUGAAUCAUGGGCGGUUGUCGUGACAACAAACUAUCACAAACAGAAAACUGCCUAAUGCCGUGGAUUUCAUUUUGGUUCAAACACUCCCUUACCUCACAUCAAGGCUAUGAAAAAAAACGAAGAAAAAAAGAAUCAGGGACAAUGCCCCAGUGUGCUGCCCCUUGUGACCGUGGCUCCUUGGCGAUCUGAGCAGUAUCAGAAGGCAAGAGGUUUUCUGAAAUUGGAAUGUCAAUCAGAACGGGCUUCAGCCAAAGUGUAUUGUAUCAGUAUCAUGGAGAAGACCUCUCUGACAUCUGGAGUCAGCUGGAUCGUCCCACAUCCAAGAUCUAUGACUAAUAAUGAAACACAGUACAGAUGCUAAUUAUUCAGCGUGCAGUAAGCCUUUUGGCCCCUGACCCAACUCUGGCUUAAAUUCACAUUAUCCGGACCUUAUUCUAUUUAAUACCUGCCAGCUCCUGCCUGGGAGUGUCCAGUUAUUUCACUUACAGUUAUUCAGAGAAAAUAUCCUGUUUUUCUCGUUCUAACAAAAUGAGUAAGAUAUCUCUUCCUGUGAUGUAAUGCCACUGACACUUCAUUAAAAAUAAAAUCAAGUCUUAGUUUUCCCUAUUAAA